ACGCACGCUGGCGGCGUGCUUAACACAUGCAAGUCGCACGGAAAGGCCCUGCUUUUGUGGGGUGCUCGAGUGGCGAACGGGUGAGUAACACGUGAGUAACCUGCCCUUGACUUUGGGAUAACUUCAGGAAACUGGGGCUAAUACCGGAUAGGAGCUCCUGCUGCAUGGUGGAGGUUGGAAAGUUUCGGCGGUUGGGGAUGGACUCGCGGCUUAUCAGCUUGUUGGUGGGGUAGUGGCUUACCAAGGCUUUGACGGGUAGCCGGCCUGAGAGGGUGACCGGCCACAUUGGGACUGAGAUACGGCCCAGACUCCUACGGGAGGCAGCAGUGGGGAAUAUUGCACAAUGGGCGGAAGCCUGAUGCAGCAACGCCGCGUGCGGGAUGACGGCCUUCGGGUUGUAAACCGCUUUCGCCUGUGACGAAGCGUGAGUGACGGUAAUGGGUAAAGAAGCACCGGCUAACUACGUG
rnacentral:rRNA from 1 species